UACGUAGGGGGCCAGCGUUGCUCGGAAUUACUGGGCGUAAAGGGUUCGUAGGCGGUGCGGAAAGUUGGGCGUGAAAUCUCUGGGCUUAACCCAGAGGCUGCUUUCAAAACUUCCGUGCUCGAGUGCGAGAGAGGUCAGUGGAAUUGCAGGUGUAGCGGUGAAAUGCGUAGAUAUCUGCAGGAACACCCGUGGCGAAGGCGGCUGACUGGAUCGCAACUGACGCUGAGGAACGAAAGCUAGGGGAGCAAACAGG
rnacentral:rRNA from 1 species